rnacentral:rRNA from 1 species
AUUGAACGCUGGCGGCAUGCCUUACACAUGCAAGUCGAACGGUAGCAUAGGAGCUUGCUCCUGAUGGCGAGUGGCGAACGGGUGAGUAAUAUAUCGGAACGUGCCCUAGAGUGGGGGAUAACUAGUCGAAAGACUAGCUAAUACCGCAUACGAUCUAUGGAUGAAAGUGGGGGAUCGCAAGACCUCAUGCUCCUGGAGCGGCCGAUAUCUGAUUAGCUAGUUGGUGGGGUAAAAGCCUACCAAGGCAACGAUCAGUAGCUGGUCUGAGAGGACGACCAGCACACUGGGACUGAGACACGGCCCAGACUCCUACGGGAGGCAGCAGUGGGGAAUUUUGGACAAUGGGGGCAACCCUGAUCCAGCAAUGCCGCGUGAGUGAAGAAGGCCUUCGGGUUGUAAAGCUCUUUUGUCAGGGAAGAAACGGUAGUAGCGAAUAACUACUACUAAUGACGGUACCUGAAGAAUAAGCACCGGCUAACUACGUGCCAGCAGCCGCAGUAA